rnacentral:miRNA from 1 species
CAGCUCCUCUGGUAUACA